AGAGCAUGUGCGUGGGCGCACGCACGCGGGGGUCCAUCUCUGCCUGGAACACACCUUCUCCCCAGCUUCCUCCGGAGAAUUCUUCUUCGCCCUUGGGAGCUCACUCAAGGGUAUGGCCCCGGAGAGCCCCCGUCCCGCCUCCCGCCCUGGUGUUGCCUGCCUUCCUCCUCCGCCUCCUCCUCCUCCUCCUCCGUGUUCCUGCAGCACGGACAGCAGGGGCCGUCUGUCCAGCCCAGGUGUUCCAUGGCAGCCUGCCCAGACUUCUGUUCCAGCGCGGAUCGAAAUGUACCACGAUGAUCAAAUAACCUUGCCGUCCGCCCGGCCGGGAAUUUAGACUCUCGGAGAGUACCAUACGCAGCUGGUCAACACUGCGGCUCCAGGGACGUGGAGGGAGCUCCGGAGAGGUUAACAAAACUGAGCGUUCUGGGCUGAAUUGUGUCCUCCCCUAAAUCCAUAUGUUGGAGCCCUGACCCCAGGACCUUGGAAUGUGCCAGGAUUUGGAGAUGGGUCUUUAAGGACGUGAUGGAGGUACAAUGAGGUCAUGAGGGCGGGUCCUGAUGCAACAGGACUGGGGUCCUGAUGAGAAGAGGAGAUGAGACACGCACAGAGGGACGACCACGUGGAGGACACGUGGAGAAGAUGCGUCUACACAGCAAGGAGAGAGGCCUCAGGAGGGACCAGCCCUGCCCGCACUUGGAUCUCGGACAUCCAGCCUCCGGGACUGUGAGACCAUAAAUAAACGUUGAAGCCACCCCACCUGGGGUAAUUUGUCCUGAUGGCUUUAGCAACCCAACACGAUGAGCGAACCGAAUAGGACACGAACCGAAAUUCUAGUUACGCUGUCCAAUACGGUAGCCACGAGCCACGUGACUAAGUUUCAAUCAAUUAAAAUUCAAGGCCAUUAGAAAGCCAGGCCCUCAGUGAAUCUAGCCACACGCAAGCGAUCAGAAGCCACACGUGGCUGGUGGCUCCUGUACUGGACACAGCGGGUCCAGAUGGGUCUUGCUGUUCACCCAUCCUGUUCUUGGUGAGAUUCGGCUCCUCUGAGCCGGACGGAAGGACAAGCUGGUCCAGUCUGCCCUUCUGAAGGCGUGUGCCCCUCCUAGAUGUCCCCAGAUGGAGGCCCAUGGGUGGUGCCGCCAUCUUGGAAUGACGUCCCUUGAGUUGACUUGUCCAUGCUGGGACUACGUAAGUGGGUACAUGCGCCCAGCCCCUUCACUGUUCUCCACGGGCAGGAGAAAGCCAGUGCCUGUCGGUUCCCAUCCCGUGCUGGCCACCACUCAGGGCUCACCAUGUUCCGCCGUGGGUACGUCAACCCCAUGCCCCUCAGAUUCCCGGCGGGUGGAACCCAGACAACGGUAUUCCUUAUAAUGGCGCGAGGAAUCCCAAUGAGUCGCCAGGGCUGGCCACCACUUCUUUUGUUGCAAGUUCAUUUUUUGCAGAUGCCCUUUUGUUUUGUUCCUCAAUUUUACCCAUUUCACGUGACCGUCUGGUUUCCUGGAACCCCCUCCCGUCAAGGGCUGACUCCUCCGACACCUGACCUCUUGGAAUCUGCCGCUUGGCCAAAAGCAUCCUCGUUACCGGAUGAACUCAUCAUUUCAUGGCCCCAAAGACAGCAGGUCCUUAUCAGAGGGAGGUGGGACGGUCAGAGGAAGAGCAGAUGGUGUGAUCACGGGAGACGGGAUCGGAGCGACGCGCGGCCCCCAGCCAAGGAAUGCGGCCGCCUCUGGAAGCUGGCAGAGGCCAGGAAGCACGCCCUCCUAGAACGUCCAUAUGGGACCGGCGCUGUCGACACCUUGACUCUGUCCCCAGGAGACCCAUUUUGGACUUCCGGCCUGCCGAGCGGAGAUGCAGUUGGCUGGAAAACGGCUGAGCGACGUUCCCUGCUCUGGAGAUGCCACCGAGGAGACACAGGCCCCGAAAGAGGUCAGCCAGCCCGGACAGAAAGC
ensembl:lncRNA